rnacentral:tRNA from 1 species
GCCUGGGUGGCUCAGUCGGUUAAGCAUCUGACUUCAACUCAGGUCAUGAUCUCGAGGUCCGUGAGUUCGAGCCCUGCGUCAGGCU